AGUAACGCGUGAGUAAUCUGCCUUACACAAGGGGAUAGCCGUUGGAAACGACGAAUAAUACCCUAUGAAACUAUCACUUCGCAUGAAGCGAUAGUCAAAGUGUUAGCGGUGUAAGAUGGACUUGCGUCUGAUUAGCUAGUUGGUGAGAAAAAGCCCACCAAGGCAACGAUCAGUAGCCGGCUUGAGAGAGUGUACGGCCACAUUGGGACUGAGACACGGCCCAG
rnacentral:rRNA from 1 species